AGCAGCCGCGGUAAUUCCAGCUCCAAUAGCGUAUAUUAAAGUUGUUGCAGUUAAAAAGCUCGUAGUUGAAUUUCGGGAUCAGUUGGUCGGUCGUGCCUCGGUACGUACUGGUCAAAUUGAUUCCUACCUUCUGACGAACCACGAUGUCAUUAAUUUGGUGUCGCGGGAAAUCAGGACUGUUACUUUGAAAAAUUAGAGUGUUUAAAGCAGGCUCGCGCUUGAAUACAUUAGCAUGGAAUAAUGAAAUAGGACGUUUGAUUCUAUUUUGUUGGUUUCUAGGAUCGACGUAAUGAUUAAUAGGGAUAGUUGGGGGCAUUAGUAUUCAAUUGUCAGAGGUGAAAUUCUUGGAUUUAUUGAAGACUAACUACUGCGAAAGCAUUUGCCAAGGAUGUUUUCAUUAAUCAAGAACGAAAGUUAGGGGAUCGAAGACGAUCAGAUACCGUCGUAGUCUUAACCAUAAACUAUGCCGACUAGGGAUCGGAUGAUGUUAAUUUUUUAA
rnacentral:rRNA from 1 species